rnacentral:rRNA from 1 species
AGCUCCAAUAGCGUAUAUUAAAGUUGUUGCAGUUAAAAAGCUCGUAGUUGAACUUCAGACCUGGUCGGGCGGUCUGCCUCACGGUACGUACUGUCUGGCUGGGUCUUACCUCUUGGUGAACCGGCAUGCCCUUUACUGGGUGUGUUGAGGAACCAGGAUCUUUACCUUGAGAAAAUCAGAGUGUUCAAAGCAGGCCUAUGCCCGAAUGCAUUAGCAGGGAAUAAUAAAAUAGGACGUGUAGUUCUAUUUUGUUGGUUUCUAGAGCUACCGUAAUGAUUAAUAGGGACAGUUGGGGGCAUUAGUAUUCAGUUGCUAGAGGUGAAAUUCUUAGAUUUACUGAAGACUAACUAUUGCGAAAGCAUUUGCCAAGGAUGUUUUCA